UACGUAGGGACCAAGCGUUGUUCGGAUUUACUGGGCGUAAAGGGCGCGUAGGCGGCAAUUCAAGUCAUCUGUGAAAUCUCCCGGGCUUAACUCGGAAUGGUCAGGUGAUACUGCUUUGCUAGAGUGCAGAAGGGGCAAUCGGAAUUCUUGGUGUAGCGGUGAAAUGCGUAGAUAUCAAGAGGAACACCUGAGGUGAAGACGGGUUGCUGGGCGUGACACUGACGCUGAGACGCGAAGCGUGGGGAGCAAACAGG
rnacentral:rRNA from 1 species